rnacentral:rRNA from 1 species
CCUACGGGCGGCAGCAGUGGGGAAUAUUGGGCAAUGGAGGAAACUCUGACCCAGCAACGCCGCGUGAAUGAUGAAGGUCUUCGGAUUGUUAAGUUCUUUUCUUAGGGAAGAAAAAAGUGACGGUACCUUAGGAAUAAGCCUCGGCUAACUACGUGCCAGCAGCAGCUGUAAUACGUCGGAGGCGAGCGUUAUGCGGAAUGACUGGGCGUAAAGGGUGCGUAGGUGGGUUGGCAAGUUAGUAGCGUAACUCCAAGGCUCAACCUUGGAACUACUACUAAAACUGUUGGACUUGAGUGCAGGAGGGGCAAGCGGAAUGCCUAGUGUAGCGGUGGAAUGCGUAGAUAUUAGGUGGAACACCAGUGGCGAAGGCAGGUUGCUAGACUGUAACUGACACUGAGGCACGAAAGCGUGGGGAGCAAACAGGAUUAGAUACCCUUGUAGUC